AUGAAGAAGCCAUCUGUUCUGUUCAUUGAGAGGCAUUUUCAUGUAGCAUUGUACAGCACGUGCUGCCACAGCUCUUUUUGUACAGUUUCUGGAAAUUGCUGUGCACACGGUCCUUUGUGUUCCUCCAUGCACUCAUUGUUUCACAAAUCUAGAAUGAAUUUUUUGUAUGAGAUUGUAAACCACAUGCUGGUGUUUUUUUUAACUUCUUCUGGAAAAACUCUGUUGUUAUUGGAGAUUGGAGUUUAUCCAGAAGUCCAGAUUCGAGAGAGGAAAGUGAAGGGUGCAGAAUCAGAGAGAAAGUGGGUGCUGCUUAUCUGCUGCUUACGUGGCAGGCAACCAUCUCGUGUAGUAUUGGUGGGUAGGUAG
rnacentral:rRNA from 1 species